CCUACGGGUGGCAGCAGUGAGGAAUAUUGGUCAAUGGCCGAGAGGCUGAACCAGCCAAGUCGCGUGAGGGAAGAAUGUCCUAAGGAUUGUAAACCUCUUUUGUCGGGGAGCAAAAAGGCUUUGCGGAGUCGUAUUCAGAGUAUCCGAAGAAAAAGCAUCGGCUAACACCGUGCCAGCAGCCGUGGUAAUACGGAGGAUGCGAGCGUUAUCCGGAUUUAUCGGGUUUAAGGGGUGCGCAGUGGGAGUGUCAAGCAAGCGGUAAAAUAGCGGGGCUCAACCCGGUCGAGCCGUUUGAACGGGCGCGCUUGAGGUCAGGCGAGGUAAGCGGAAUUCGUGGUGUAGCGGUGAAAUGCGUAGAUAUCACGAAGAACUCCGAUUGCGAAGGCAGCUUACCAGUCUGCGACUGACGCUCAGGCACGAAAGUGUGGGUAUCGAACAGGAUUAGAUACCCUAGUAGUC
rnacentral:rRNA from 1 species